rnacentral:tRNA from 1 species
AGGAAUACGUUAAUAACUUUGUUAUUAACAUUACGGAAACUACACACGUUUGCCUUUGUUCAGUUUUGAGAGGUUUACUCUUAAAAUUCGGGGCCUUAGCUCAGCUGGGAGAGCGCCUGCUUUGCACGCAGGAGGUCAGCGGUUCGAUCCCGCUAGGCUCCAUUAACGACAUCUAGUCGUUAAUUUUUGUUCAUUGAAAACUGGAUAUUGAAGAAAAAAAUCAAAAAACAAACCGAGAACACCGCGUUGAAUGAGUUUUUUAAUAAGUUCAAUUGCUUAUUUAUCUUGAUGAAACUUCUAUCGCUAGAAGGGAAGUCAAAACCCAACCGCAAGGUUGAUAA